CCGUUAGAAAGAGGAAGUGCCUCGCAAGAGGAGCCUGGAGACAGGUGCUGCAUGGCUGUCGUCAGCUCGUGUCGUGAGAUGUUGGGUUAAGUCCCGCAACGAGCGCAACCCUUGUCUUUAGUUGCCAUCAUUCAGUUGGGCACUCUAAAGAGACUGCCGGUGUCAAACCGGAGAAGGCGGGGAUGACGUCAAGUCCUCAUGGCCUUUAUGACCAGGGCUACACACGUACUACAAUGGCCGGUACAAAGGGCAGCCACUUAGCGAUAAGGAGCCAAUCCCGUAAAGCCGGUCUCAGUCCGGAUUGGAGUCUGCAACUCGACUCCAUGAAGUUGGAAUCGCUAGUAAUCGCAGAUCAGCACGCUGCGGUGAAUACGUUCCCGGGCCUU
rnacentral:rRNA from 1 species